rnacentral:rRNA from 1 species
GGGGGGGACGACCCCCUUCUUGGCCGUACGGUGGCGGAGCACAAGGGGAAGUUGGCUAUGAGACGCUUCCGGGGCGAGGCUCCUCCUCUUGUCAUCAACAUGGAGGCUGCUAGGAGGGCUGUCUCUGGCAGCCUGGUAGUUGGACGCUUCUUGGCACCUUUCCAGGUGAACCCUUGGGCCAUUGUUGACGAGCUCUAGAACUCCGGGGCGUGGCGGCUUCAGGGUACGGCCACUGUCCAAGAGGUGGCCAGCGAGGACGGACGCUUUGUCCUUAAUUUCUCCUCCGAGGGGGAUCGACGGUUUGUGCUCAAGGCACAACCAUGGCACUAUAAUCGGGACGACAUCAUCUUCGCCGAGUUCGACGGCAGGGGCGACCCGGCGGAGAUCGAUCUUGGGGUCAUGCCCAUUUGGGCCUAG